rnacentral:misc_RNA from 1 species
AACCUAGCACACCUGCGGUGUGUACCUGCGGAGGGAUCAUUAACCUUUCAAAUCAGGGUGCGGCGCGGCCCCCGAGGAGCGGAAACAAUCCUUGGGAGGUAUGCGGGGGCUUCGAGCCCCCCAUUUACGCACGCACGACUGCCAUCCUUACUUUACGAGCACCUUCUGUUCUCCCUCGGCGGGGCAACCUGCCGUUGGAACCGAAUAAACUCUUCUUGCAUCUAGCAUUACCUGUUCCGA